rnacentral:rRNA from 1 species
GUAGUCUCGCACAGAUGCAUAUCAAUAAGCGGAGGAAAAGAAACUAACAAGGGAUUCCCUUAGUAACGGCGAGUGAAGCGGGAAGAGCUCAAAUUUGAAAUCUUCAAGGUUUUACCUUGACGAAUUGUAGUUUAAAGAAGUGUUUUCUGUUGAAGUUUUGGUAAAAGUUCUUUGGAAUAGGACAUCAUAGAGGGUGAGAAUCCCGUAUUUGACCAUUAUUUUCAGCUGUGUGAUACACUUUCAAAGAGUCGGAUUGUUUGGGAAUGCAGUCCAAAAUGGGUGGUAAAUUUCAUCUAAAGCUAAAUAUUGGCGAGAGACCGAUAGCGAACAAGUACCGUGAGGGAAAGAUGAAAAGAACUUUGAAAAGAGAGUUAAACAGUACGUGAAAUUGUCAAAAGGAAAGCGUUUGACACCAGUGUUGUUUUUCUGAAAAUCAAUUAAAGAACUGUUUAUGCUAAGUUGUUUAGACUUUAUCAGCUAACUGUUUAGUUUUGAGCUUUUCUUUAAUGCACUUUUCAGUUAACAAGUCAACAUCAAUUUCUUUUGCUGUAAAAAAGCUUGAGGAAGGUGGCUUGAGAUUCGUCUUAAGUGUUUAUAGCCUCUUGCCUAUGCAGUCGGAGAGAUUGAGGUCUGCAGCGUAGAUCCUUCGGGGCUAAAUGCAUUUGUGCUAAGUUAUAGCAUUUUAUAGACAACUUGUUGACUAUGAUUUGUCUUGUAGCUUACUCGCUUAUGUUAUUUUACCUACGCUUAGGAUGUUGAUGUGAUACUGCGAGCA